rnacentral:rRNA from 1 species
CACGAACGCUGGCGGCAGGCUUAACACAUGCAAGUCGAGCGCCCCGCAAGGGGAGCGGCAGACGGGUGAGUAACGCGUGGGAAUCUACCCAUCUCUACGGAAUAACGCAUGGAAACGUGUGCUAAUACCGUAUACGUCCUUCGGGAGAAAGAUUUAUCGGAGAUGGAUGAGCCCGCGUUGGAUUAGCUAGUUGGUGGGGUAAAGGCCUACCAAGGCGACGAUCCAUAGCUGGUCUGAGAGGAUGAUCAGCCACACGGGGACUGAGACACGGCCCAGACUCCUACGGGAGGCAGCAGUGGGGAAUAUUGGACAAUGGGCGCAAGCCUGAUCCAGCCAUGCCGCGUGAGUGAUGAAGGCCCUAGGGUUGUAAAGCUCUUUCACCGGUGAAGAUAAUGACGGUAACCGGAGAAGAAGCCCCGGCUAACUUCGUGCCAGCCGCCACAGUAAAAC